rnacentral:lncRNA from 1 species
AAUUAAAUUUAAAAAAAUAAAAAAAAUAAAAAUAAAAACCACCCACGGUCUGAAUAAAAUUUAAGGAAAUGUGUUGGGUUUUUAAUAAUUAUUUUUUUUAGUUAUACGGCAAUAAUUGCGUGCUCCGCAGAGAGGGGAGAGACAGAGAGCAGCCACUGGGGCCAUUUGUUACAUGAUUUCUCCUUUUUUUUUUUUUAAGUCCCCGGAGCUCUGGAAUUUUUCCCCUCUUCCUCCUCAACCACAGUCCCGAAUUUUGCAGAUAUUGACGCCUGCCUGUGUCUAAACUACGGCUAACCUUGUUAACCCACUCCCCUGUGUGACCCGUGGGAGGAGGGCUUUCAGUAUUUUGAUGUUUUAAGUGUUUAAUGCCAAGCCCUUUUUUUUUAUUUAUUUCUCUUUUUUUAUUUUUUUUAUUUUUUUUUUUGAGUCAAAUGCACCCAACAUCUAUGUCCCAGUCGUGUUGGCAGGCAAAUGUCGGGAACAAGCAGGGCCACGAAAAGCCCGACCAAAAUUCGGGCAGGGAAGUUGUGCCAGGCGUAGACCACCAGCAUCUGUUUAUCAUUGUUGGAGCUGCAAGGGGAAAAAAACAUCCUCUGGAUUCUGAGCUGCCGGAGCGAAGGGAAUGGCCUGCCUCCCAAGCCACCAUUAACAUUCAGCGGAGCACAGAGGGGAGCGAGGACGCUGCGGGGAAUGCCACCCCCGCCUUGGGAGGAACCAACAAAACCCGAUGGCAAAAGCUAGCUUAG